UCCUCUGUGGCAGGAGGCUCAUCCAAAGAGAGCUGGAGAAAUCCCCCUGGCUGGCUGGGAAAGGAAAGAGCUCAGAUAGUCGAGUCUCCCUGCUCCACAUGGUCACUGAGUAUCGAUCCAUACCCCUGAACGACGCCAUUAAACCAACCUAACCUCCAGUGUAGACAAGGACUCCCGUCAACGAUCCUACCUAGGUGGAGUACCGACGCUAGCUGCAGAACCCCUCCUGUCGGAAUAACUUCAUAGAGGAGCAAGAGAAGAAGGGCUGUAGGUGAAGAAGACUUGACUGAGAGAGAUCACCAGGCAGGUGUCCAAUUUAUUGAAAAAUAUCCCUCCAGUGUUUAUGCAAGAAUCAUGUUUGUUUGUUCUUUUUUUCAUUCACUGCCUGCCGAAUGUUUCAGCCUUAUCGUGAGGCUCCAAGGUAUGCCAGUUCUAAUCCGUGACUCCGAGCUAACUGCUAUCAAAAGACAAAUUGGGCGAGAUUCCAGCAGCGUGCAUUGUUGAUAGUCCAAUAAGGAAUCAAUAAUACAGUUAGUUACCAUGAAGCUUACAGACUACUGUUGUGGUGGCAACCAAGUAUUAAAGAAGCUAUUGGAUAUCUAACUGGAAAACUCUCAGACAGACCUAUUAUUUAUUUGUUUGUAGCACCAAGGAGCUCUAGUGAUGGACUAGUAUCCC